rnacentral:rRNA from 1 species
GACGAACCGAGCGAACGUUAUUCGGAAUCACUGGGCUUAAAGGGCGCGUAGGCGGGCCGGCAAGUCCGGGGUGAAAGCCCCCAGCUCAACUGGGGAAGUGCCUCGGAUACUGUCGGCCUCGAGGGAGGUAGGGGCGUGCGGAACUUCCGGUGGAGCGGUGAAAUGCGUAGAUAUCGGAAGGAACACCGGUGGCGAAAGCGGCGCGCUGGACCUCUUCUGACGCUGAGGCGCGAAAGCCAGGGGAGCGAACGGG